AUUGAACGCUGGCGGCAGGCUUAACACAUGCAAGUCGAGCGGAGAUGAGGUGCUUGCACCUUAUCUUAGCGGCGGACGGGUGAGUAAUGCUUAGGAAUCUGCCUAUUAGUGGGGGACAACAUUCCGAAAGGAAUGCUAAUACCGCAUACGUCCUACGGGAGAAAGCAGGGGAUCUUCGGACCUUGCGCUAAUAGAUGAGACUAAGUCGGAUUAGCUAGUUGGUGGGGUAAAGGCCUACCAAGGCGACGAUCUGUAGCGGGUCUGAGAGGAUGAUCCGCCACACUGGGACUGAGACACGGCCCAGACUCCUACGGGAAGCAGCAGUGGGGAAUAUUGGACAAUGGGGGGAACCCUGAUCCAGCCAUGCCGCGUGUGUGAAGAAGGCCUUAUGGUUGUAAAGCACUUUAAGCGAGGAGGAGGCUACUGAGACUAAUACUCUUGGAUAGUGGACGUUACUCGCAGAAUAAGCACCGGCUAACUCUGUGCCAGCCGCCGCAGUAAUAC
rnacentral:rRNA from 1 species